AUUAAAGUUGAUAUAAAAUAUUUAAAGUGUUUAGAAAUCAAAUUUUAUAAUUUUUAAUAAUUAUUUACUUAAUGAUCAAAAAAUUGCGAAAUUGAUAGUUUUUUAUGGCCUAUAGAAGUCGUUUACUCGUUUAACGAUGGGAAGCAAUGCAAACUACUUGAAUGUUUGAUAGAAUGUUUUUUACUUUUUAAAUAAUAUUUGAUAACUCCCAUCUUCAGUUGAGAAAGUCUAACCUCUAUUUUCAUAGAGUUAUUUAUUUUCAACUAUUUAUUCUUCGGCUCUUUUGAUCAAUAUGAUAAUGAUUUUAAAAAGUUACAAAAUUCGGAUUCUAAAUAUGUCAAAUGAUCUAGAUCAAUUUAAACAAUGCCUAUUAUUAAUUUGGAGUUAAAAUCAUUAGAAACGACCUGAAAGAACAAAGGCUUUUGUCCUUCUAAGAGGAUAGU
rnacentral:lncRNA from 1 species